rnacentral:lncRNA from 1 species
CUGCCAAUCUGCGGAUGCUGGUGGGUGGGACCCAGCAGAAGGUACUGGGCGGGUUGGGCUCCGCUUGUCCCCGCACUCACGGCUUACCGUCUCCCUGUUUUAAAACUUAAGCAUCAGGGUCUUUUCCAAUGAGUCAGUUAUUUGGCCACCUGAUGCGAAGAACUGAGUCCUUUGGAAAAGACCCUGAUGCUGGGAAAGACUGAAGGCGGGAGGAGAAGGGGACGACAGAGGAUGAGAUGGUUGGAUGGCAUCACCGACUCGAUGGACAUGAGUUUGAGUAAACUCCGGGAGUUGGUGAUGGAUAGGGAGGCCUGGCGUGCUGCAGUCCAUGGGGUCGCAAAGAAUCGGACCCGACUGAGCGACUGAACUGAAUGCUUAGAAUAGCAAGAGGGCUUUCUUUUUCCCGCAGUUGGACCCUCCCUUAUACAGGUAAGGAAAGAAGAGGAUGCCCAGGAGAGCGUCCAGAGAAACACCAGCACUUGCUAGGGGCAGGGAGGAGGAUCAGAAGAGAGAUCAGAGAGGAGCAUCAAGGAGGAGGGGGAAAACCCUGGGAAGUUUCAAGGACGCCAUGAUUAACAACGUCAGUCUCGACUGCUACCAGGAAGCAGCAGGUGGUGUAUUAGUUCCCCAACCGGGGAUCAAACCCAAAUCCCCCUGCAUUGGAAGCAUGGAGUCUUCUGGACCACUGCUGGACCACUGA